UUUCCGUAGGUGAACCUGCGGAAGGAUCAUUCAUAAUCAGUGUUUUCUGGCACUUUUUCAAAUCCAUAUCCACCUUGUGUGCAAUGUCAGUGUUGAUUUUUCUCUCGAGAGGAUCACCCCCAAACAUAAACUUUAUCUCAACUCUUUGUCUGAGAAAUAUUAUGAAUAAAACAAUUCAAAAUACAACUUUCAACAACGGAUCUCUUGGCUCUC
rnacentral:misc_RNA from 1 species